AUAGUUUGAUUCUGGCUCAGAAUGAACGCUGGCGGCGUGCUUAACACAUGCAAGUCGUACGAGAACGCUUCAGCUUGCUGAAGCUAGUAAAGUGGCGUACGGGUGAGUAACGCGUGGGUAAUCUACCUUCGAAUUGGGGAUAACGUUGCGAAAGUGACGCUAAUACCGGAUAAUAUCAUAGAGACCUUGGUUUUUAUGAUCAAAGAUGGCCUCUCCUUGGAAGCUAUUGUUUGGAGAUGAGCCCGCGUCCCAUUAGCUUGUUGGUGGGGUAAUGGCCUACCAAGGCUACGAUGGGUAGCUGGUCUGAGAGGAUGAUCAGCCACACUGGAACUGACACACGGUCCAGACUCCUACGGGAGGCAGCAGUGAGGAAUUUUGCGCAAUGGGGGAAACCCUGACGCAGCAACGCCGCGUGAGUGAUGAAGGCUUUCGGGUCGUAAAGCUCUGUCAAGUGGGAAGAACUCCCGUGAGGUUAAUACCCUCAUGGUUUGACGGUACCACUGAAGGAAGCACCGGCUAACUCCGUGCCAGCAGCCGCGGUAAUACGGGGGGUGCAAGCGUUAUUCGGAUUUACUGGGCGUAAAGCGCGCGUAGGCGGCCGUUUAAGUCAGAUGUGAAAGCCCGGGGCUCAACCCCGGAAGUGCAUUUGAUACUAUUCGGCUUGAGUAUGGGAGAGGGAAGUGGAAUUCCUGGUGUAGAGGUGAAAUUCGUAGAUAUCAGGAGGAACACCGGUGGCGAAGGCGACUUCCUGGACCAAUACUG
rnacentral:rRNA from 1 species